UACGUAGGUGACCAGCGUUGUCCGGAUUUACUGGGCGUAAAGAGCGCGCAGGCGGUCGUUCAAGUCGAGUGUGAAAGCCCCCGGCUCAACUGGGGAGGGUCACUUGAUACUGAUCGACUCGAAGGCAGGAGAGGGAAGCGGAAUUCCCGGUGUAGUGGUGAAAUGCGUAGAUAUCGGGAGGAACACCAGUGGCGAAGGCGGCUUCCUGGCCUGUUCUGACGCUGAGGAGCGAAAGCGUGGGGAGCGAACAGG
rnacentral:rRNA from 1 species